rnacentral:lncRNA from 1 species
AGAGAAUGGAUCUUCUCCGAGUGGGGACAUUGCUGACAAUCCCGGCUUCCCGAGGCGGCUAAGAACAGGCAGUUUGUGUCGGCUGGCUGCAGAUACCCAGAGGCACAAAGAGACCGAAGCCACCCGGAGGGACCCACGGACGGACAGAUGGUAGGCGCGAACCCGAGAGGACCGGCGGAGGCUGAGCACCGAGAGCCGCCAAGGAAGAGAAACUAACCACAGCCAAGUUACCCCGCCGGCUUUCCUUCGCUGCGCUAAGGAAUGAAACCCUUCCAGCUCGAUCUGCUCUUCGUCUGCUUCUUCCUCUUCAGUCAAGAGCUGGGCCUCCAGAAGAGAGGAUGCUGUCUGGUGCUGGGCUACAUGGCCAAGGACAAGUUUCGGAGAAUGAAUGAAGACAGAGACGGAGUUUCGCUCUUGUUGCCCAGGCUGGAAUGCAAUGGCAUGAUCUCAGCUCACUGCAAGCUCCGCCUCCCGCGUUCAAGCGAUUCUCCUGCCUCAGCCUCCUGAGUAGCUGGGAUUACAGGCACCCACCACCUCACUUGGCUGAUUUUUUGUAUGUUUAGUAGAAACAGGGUUUCGCCAUGUUGGGCAGGCUGGUCUCAAACUCCUGACCUCGGGUGAUCCACCCGCCUCAGCCUCCCAAAGUGCUGGGAUUACAGGCGUGCGACUAAUAUUCUUAACGUAACCCUGUGGCUUAGGAGUAGGAGAAAUCUAGAUUCAAAUCCCGGGUGUAGUCAGGGCAGGCUUAGACCCCUAUCAUUACAGAUUCUCCAGGCCAGAAGGGACCAAAGGUCAUCUGGUUCCAUAUCCCUGCCAAGUACCAGUGUGUGUAAAGACUGUGAACACGGCGGAAUGCUCAUUUAUUCACCAACCAUGUGUCCAGUACCCGCUCUGUGCCUGGCGCUGUGCAUGUAAAAACACAGUCCCUGCCCCCAAGGAUACCACUGUCUUGCGGGGAGAGACAAACACGUCAGCAACUACAAUACAAUGUCGCAGUUGCGGUAACCGGGUAUGAAUAAGUAGCUAUUGGAAACAGAGAAGGAGAAUCCAAUCACACUGUAGGCCAGGAGAGGAGUGUCCAGCAUGGCUUCUGGAGAAAUAAGCCCUGUGAGAUGUUUUAUUCUAAGAGGCUGUUGCAACCUAUGCUUGAAUCCCUCCAAAGACAAGAAACUUGCAGCCUGCCGAGGCGGUGGGCAGCUCCUCAGCCAGGCUCUCCAAACGCCACACCGCUUCCACCCCAGGAGGCUGCAGUUUUCGCAUUCUAGCUUUACUGAUGACGAGGGGACCCAGUGACUUGGACAGCAGCCACUGGCAAGAUCCUGGGGUCUCCACUAUGUCAACUGCACCGGGGAGGCCUCCUUUCUUCUCUCUGCUUCUUCCUUCCAUCCCCAGCCAGCCUCAAAGGCUUCAUCACAGAAUUCUUUGAGUGCUGAGACCCUCCCCCAGCCCUCUCCCCAGGGUCUGAAGAAAGCCCCAGAGAAGUUGGAAUAAACGAAGGCGCUUAAUG